CUUGCGGUGACAGCAGCGAGGCAACUGUUAACGCCCAGCUGCACCCUGCUGUUAGGAAACACCAUUCCUGUGUAACCACAUCUGGAUGGAUAGCAGACAGAUGUCAUCACAACAAUGCAGGUUCUGUGAUUAAAUGUUGGUAGCCGUAAUGUCAACAUUAAUCCUAGAUGCAGUUGUAGUCAAAUAAAAUAGAGGGUAGGACGUGUUUAUAAUUGAGUAUUUCAGUCAUCUUGCGUCCACAAUGACCGGGGACAACUGUGUAACCGUUUUGUUUUGAAAGUAUCAUUUGGAAACACUAUUGUCUUUUGUUGCUUUAAAGCCAAAGUGCAGCUGCCGUUCCUCACUAUAGCCACGAGAGGGCGUAAUACUCAUGACUAUUAAAAUGCAAGAGAUGUAAUACUGAUUAAACUAGCGUCCUUGAAAGUUACUCUAAAAUGAUUCAGCAAUUAUCCUACAUUUUACCUUAAUUGGAUUCUGACAGUGUCAACAUUCGUUUAAUAGUAUCUCUGCCAUACAUUAUUUUGACAGUCCUUAAAUCCACAUCCCUCACGCGCAAUAGACACUUUUAUUCCGGUUCCUCUCAAAGCGUGUGCCCAGUUGAGUAUUUAUUAUUAAAAGUUCCCCUAAUACGAUGAUUACAGGUUGAAGGAGAAAUCAUUUUUCUUGGAGACUGCCUGUGAUUAAUUUCUCCUGUCGGCUCCCUCCCGGUCCACCAGGCGGCGGUAAUGUUCCUCAAUGGCGCCUUUUUACCCGCGAAUAUAAAAACAGAAGAAAAUCUGCGUUUAAAUCACGAAGAAGCGGAUGUGGAGUCAUUUCUUGUUCUUCCUCCACUGGGAUGGCGUUGGUUGUACUGUUAUCAGACGAAGUGACGUAACUUAUCUAAAGCGGACUUAAAAACAGGUUCCCUGAAGGCACCACAUCUUGCACCAAGGAAAUGCCAGUUUGCUUAUGUAACGUUAUUUGAAUAUUGUCCUGUGAAAUAAAUCUGAAACAUUAAAUACAAUUUUCCCAAA